GGGAAGACAGGGUAGAGGGGUGUUGUGCCGGGAAGACAGGCUGUACGUAGAGGGGCGUUGUGCCGGGAAGACAGGCUGUACGUAGAGGGGCGUUGUGCCGGGAAGACAGGCUGUACGUAGAGGGGCGUUGUGCCGGGAAGACAGGCUGUACGUAGAGGGGCGUUGUGCCGGGAAGAAGACAGGCUGUACGUAGAGGGGCGUUGUGCCGGGAAGACAGGCUGUACGUAGAGGGGCGUUGUGCCGGGAAGACAGGCUGUACGUAGAGGGGCGUUGUGCCGGGAAGACAGG